rnacentral:tRNA from 1 species
GCCCCCGUAGCUCAGCGGAUAGAGCAUCGGCCUCCGGAGCCGUGUGCGCGUGUUCGAGUCACGCCGGGGGCA